GCUCCGGUGGCCUAGUGGUUAGAGCGUCCACCUGGGAUGCGGGAGGUCGUGGGUUAGAUCUCCGGCCAAGUCU